UGGAGAUCAAACAUUGGAAUGUUCUCUCAUUUCUGAAUAGUGAUACUAAACCAUGUCUGAGCUUUGGCUCAACGUGCUUGGAGACUGAUCCCAACUUCACCUUCCUGUGUGGGUUGGGAUUCCUCCUUCUGUUCUGUGCUACCUGUGGGGAUUCCAUAUCCAACUUGGAAAACCAAAACUACCCAAAAGGACUUCUGACUGGGAAUACCAAGUGUGGACCUCCCAGACAAAGUCGUCCCCUGAGUUUUUCAAAGAAAGUCAGGGCAGAGCCAAGAGGAGGAGGAAAGGUGGGACUCUGAAAGGUAAGGUUCUGCUUAUUCCACCUGAGCUCUCCAAGGCUGAUCCUUGCUGUCCUCUCCAUG